GAUCUGUGUCCGUUUCUUGUUAUGGGCAGAAAAAAUAUCUAGAGCUAACUAAAGGUGCUGCUGACAAUUACCACCAUUUCUGGUGGAAAAGACAUGGAGUUGUCCUUGAUGGUGAGAUAGCUGCUGUUGCCUUUAAACAUGGACAUUUUGACCAAGCUGCAAAGUCAUAUGAGAAGGUUUGUGCACUGUAUAAUGGGGAAGGAUGGCAGGACUUGUUGGCCGAGGUCCUUCCUAUUCUAGGAGAGUGUCAAAAUAUUCUUAAUGAUCAAAGCUGGCUACUUGCUAUCCUGUGUGCGGCUACUUUAUCUUGAAGAUGGAUUAUUUCAGAAACCAGGGUCAUAUGUUCUUGGAGUUCUUAUUGGGCAGUUGAGGUUUAGAUCUCAUGGUGUUUCAAAAGUUGGUCCUGCAGAGAGUGAUGAUGUUAUGGCCUAUUCUGGUGUAUCAGACAAUGAUGAGGACGAGAAUUGGGCAAGUGACGCUCCUUCUAUACUCUAGGCUCUAAAUCGUGCCAUCAGUGACACACUCAACAUAGGAUUAUCUUCAGUCACAACAAGGAGAGAGUAUUGUAGAUGGAAUGAGAACGAUAGCUCUAAAACUUGAAAUUGGAGCAUUCCAUAAUCAGAUAUUUGAAAGGAUACAAACUACAUUGACUUUGGGUUUGAGUUACAAACAAGUGUUGAUGACGCGAUAGCAGCAAACAGUAUCUCAGACUCCACUUUUCAAAUAGGUGCUUCCUGGCAAGCCAAUAAGAACUUCUUGCUGAAGGCAAAAGUUGGACCUAAAAGCUCAACAAUGGCUGUUGCAUUCAAGUCAUGGUGGAAACCUUCUUUCACAUUCAACAUUUCAGCCACCAGAGAUCGUGCAGACGGUCAAUUGCAAUAUGGAUUUGGCCUCCAAAGUGAAAUUCUCAGAGAAGCCAGUUAUCAAAGAGCUUAUCCCAAUUUCGUAAUGCUCACCCC